CAGCAGAAAGGACAACCUUUGCUGGCUUCAUACAAGCACUAACCAGUCCGUGAAUCACCAAUUCCCUAUGAGAUGUAAGCUGGAUUUGUUGGGCAAGCCUUCUAAGACCGCUCCUUCCAAGGGGAGGAAAGAGUGGUAAGCGCCCUUUUGUUCUCCCUCUUCCUUAUGCCUGGAAUUCAGAAGAUGGAGCUGGAAGUGAAGCAGCCCUGAGGAAUUGUGAGCAUCCCAUAAGCUAGCGGGGCAAAGCUGAAAGCACCCCUUACCCACCACAGACCUCCCACCCCCACCCACCAUCUUCACAUGGGGGAGAAAUUUACACGGGUCAGGUUACUGAAUUCAAGUUUUCCAAAUGUCUAUAGCAUAUCGCAUUAGGCUUUAGUUAACACUUACUUUGACUAACCCCCUAAAACACCAUUUCAAAACGUAAAGCUCAGAAAUAAAUUACUUACAUGUUCUCUAGUCUUUUACAGCACCAUCUCUUAAAAACAUGCACAAAAACAGCACCUGCUUAGCAGUGCCAUCUUCAACUCCUCAAUUGUUUUGUUUUGUUUGUAUUGAUUAUAUUCUCUUAUUAUCUGUGUUCUUGAUACUCCCGUAUUUGGGGCCUUGACUGUGGAGAGACUGUUCCUCCCUGGGCUGGCUAAUUCCUAGAGACAGAAAACACCCCUGUGCGAGCGUGCCUGUGAUAUACAAACCAACCAAUCCAGAGCCACAGCAGUGAUCUGAACAUCACUUACUGCAUGUAUGACCUAGAAAAGUCAUCUUUAAGAAGCUGGUUUAUCCAACAUCCAACACCUGCACCUCCGAGAGCACUUCCCCAGAAAGAAUUACUAAAUACAGGGCCUCACUCUGUCAUCCAGGCUGGAGUGCCGUGGCGUCAUCUUGGCUCACUGCAAUCUCUGCCUCUCAGGUUCAAGCGAUUCUCACACCUCAGCCUCCCAAGUAGCUGGGAUUACAGGCAUAUACCACCACGUAUGGCUAACUUUUGUAUUUUUAGUAGAGACGAGUUUUCACCAUGUUGGCCAGGCUGGUCUCAAACUUCCGGCCUCAAAUAAUCCAUCCACUUCAGCCUCCCACAGUGCUGGGAUUACAGAUGUGAGCAACCGUGCCCAGCCCCUAAGUAAAUUCUUAUACUGACAACUGGAUAAUAUGAUUCAGAAUGUAAUCAAAAUAUUAGUGCAACUGAUGCAAAUGAAAUAAAUGUCCAAGAAGUCAGUGAUAUGUAUCUGUUUUGUGCACUAUUGUAUCCCCAUGUCACUGAGAACCCCAGAAAGUACCAGCAUCAAAUUGCAAGGUCAAGAUGGCAUAAAACACGGUUGCAUGUACUGGGCAAGAAGCACUUUGAUGGUGAGCUGAGAAACUGCUUUCGCCAUGUACUGAGCCUGGGAUGGAAUCAGAAUCACAGGGUGCGGGGUCAGCAUGGGAGCAGGAAGCAAACAGAGGGAUGGGCUUAAGGGGCUGACCUGAGGGGGU
rnacentral:lncRNA from 1 species